CAAGGAAUAGUUUAAGUAGAAUUUCAGCUUUGGGUG
rnacentral:tRNA from 1 species